GCUGGAGUAGCUCAGUUGGUUGGAGCGUGUGGCUGUUAACCACAACUUCAAAAGUUCAACCCCUUCCUCUAGCG
rnacentral:tRNA from 1 species